rnacentral:tRNA from 1 species
AGCAGCGUGGCUCAGUGGAAAGAGCACGGGCUUGGGAGUCAGAGGUCAUGGGUUCUACUCCCAUCUCUGCCA